rnacentral:rRNA from 1 species
UGUUUCGGCUAGGGGGCCAUCCCGGCUUACCAACCCGAUGCAAACUGCGAAUACCGGAGAAUGUUAUCACGGGAGACACACGGCGGGUGCUAACGUCCGUCGUGAAGAGGGAAACAACCCAGACCGCCAGCUAAGGUCCCAAAGUCAUGGUUAAGUGGGAAACGAUGUGGGAAGGCCCAGACAGCCAGGAUGUUGGCUUAGAAGCAGCCAUCAUUUAAAGAAAGCGUAAUAGCUCACUGGUCGAGUCGGCCUGCGCGGAAGAUGUAACGGGGCUAAACCAUGCACCGAAGCUGCGGCAGCGACACUCAGGUGUUGUUGGGUAGGGGAGCGUUC